CUGACUGUAGGGCCAUGAUGUUGUCUGCCUCCUCCUGCAGGCUGAGCUCCUCUCUGAUGUGCUCUCUCUGGAUGCGGCCGGCUGCAUUAGCACUGGAGAGCGUCUCGAUGGAUGAACGGUCAGAGACAUACGGCCUGUCGCUGCAAGACAUCACAUCACCUCACUUUAUAUUAUAAGAGGAGUUAGGAGACGAGCCAAAACAAGACAGGACUUCAUCCGUUUGCCUAUUUUAAGUAUAUUUUUAGAAUGAGUAAAUGGGGAAAUGUUUCCACAACAUGUGAGACAGACGGAGACAAACAUGUCAGCAACUGACCUCUUUGACAGCAGGUCAUAUUCUUGCAGUAUUACAAGCAGGUUCUCCACGAUCUGUAGCUGACCAAUCUCCUCCUUGCACUCUGGGCUGCAGAAGAAAAAUAUCUUUGCAACAGACGAAAUCGAGACUUCAUUAAAUGCUUGAAGUAUUUUAUUACCUCUCUGCCAGAGUGGUGAGGGCCAGCAGGGCUCCCAGCAGCACACUGCUGUCUGUUGUGGAGAGAAGCUUCACCAGGGUCUACGAAUCAUUCAUUUCAUUAGAAAGCAAAAUUCACUUUCAACCGAUAAACAUAGAAGAAACAGAGACUCUUUUCCUCAUAUUUAAAGACAACAUUCUUCUAACUCGGAGCGUGAAAGCAAUGCCAUGACCCUUCUUUAGGACUGUCGUUCAUUUAUUUGAUGACUGAGAGUUAAUGCCUGCAAAUGCAAAGUUUAUUCAACAAAGUUUGCAGCAAUACUGACAUUUAAACCAAGUUUAGAGCAGAAAUAUCAGACUCAGCAUCUGAUCGAUUUGUUCACUGUUCUCUAAUUUUUUCUGAAAUCUUGUCUGAGAUGAAUUUCAUUGUAAUCCCUCCAUUAGAUUAAUAAAUAUCCUGGGCAUACAUUUUCAAAA